rnacentral:lncRNA from 1 species
CCGACGUGGAUCCGUGCGCUGCGGUGGCGGCGGCGGUAGGCCAGGCAGGGGUCGGGCUGGCCUAGUGGCGCAGCAGGGGGCGGGCGGGGCGCGCAGCGGCGACGGCAGGUGCGGCGGCGACUGUCAGGGAGCGUGGGGGUGUGAGCUGAGGGAGUGGCGGAGAUUGCAGGCGCGUUGUGGAUAAGUCCCCGCGAGGGGAGUUUGCCAUGUGCUGGAUCAAGGGCACAAGACAAACAUCGACUCUUUGCCGUGUGCCACGAUCUGGCUCAUGGCGAACAUUUUUUACUUAUUUUUUUUAUUUUUUUGUUUUCAUUUAUUUCUUUCUUUUUUAAAAAUUCUUUGCCAUGUGUCCCACUGCUGCUGCUGCAAGUAGCACACGACAAACAAUUAACAACAUUUUAUAUUUCAAUCCUAUACUUUUUUUUCUUUACAAGUAUACUUAAUAAAUUAAAGUUAUUAUAUAAUUUCUUUGUCAAAUGAACUUCACAAUGUAUAUUCCAUGUUUACAAACAUGUUAUACCAUUAGUUCAUGUGUUUAUUUCUUUAAUUCGAAUUUUCUGGUUUCAAAAUCAAUAAAUGCUAAAUAUAAUUAAGAAAUAGCAAACGAUUCCGAAAAAAUCUCAAAUUUGAACAAUGACACAACCUAUGUGGUGUAGUGCCUAUAGAAAAAGUUUUGAAAUCAAGCUCAAAUAUGAAAGUUGAAUCUACUCCAACUCAUGCA